rnacentral:rRNA from 1 species
GUGUCAGCAGCCGCGGUAAUACGGAGGAUCCAAGCGUUAUCCGGAUUUAUUGGGUUUAAAGGGUGCGUAGGCGGCCUAUCAAGUCAGAGGUGAAAGACGGUAGCUCAACUAUCGCAGUGCCUUUGAAACUGGUGGGCUUGAAUGUACUUGAGGUGGGCGGAAUGUGACAAGUAGCGGUGAAAUGCAUAGAUAUGUCACAGAACCCCGAUUGCGAAGGCAGCUCACUAAGGUAUGAUUGACGCUGAUGCACGAAAGCGUGGGGAUCAAACAGGAUUAGAUACCCUGGUAGUCCACGCCCUAAACGAUGAAUACUCGAUGUUGGCGAUACACCGUCAGCGUCCACGCGAAAGCAUUAAGUAUUCCACCUGGGGAGUACGUCCGCAAGGAUGAA